AGUGAACGCUGGCGGUAGGCCCAACACAUGCAAGUCGAACGGCAGCACAGUAAGAGCUUGCUCUUACGGGUGGCGAGUGGCGGACGGGUGAGGAAUACAUCGGAACCUACUUUUUCGUGGGGGAUAACGUAGGGAAACUUACGCUAAUACCGCAUACGACCUACGGGUGAAAGCAGGGGAUCUUCGGACCUUGCGCGAUUGAAUGAGCCGAUGUCGGAUUAGCUAGUUGGCGGGGUAAAGGCCCACCAAGGCGACGAUCCGUAGCUGGUCUGAGAGGAUGAUCAGCCACACUGGAACUGAGACACGGUCCAGACUCCUACGGGAGGCAGCAGUGGGGAAUAUUGGACAAUGGGCGCAAGCCUGAUCCAGCCAUACCGCGUGGGUGAAGAAGGCCUUCGGGUUGUAAAGCCCUUUUGUUGGGAAAGAAAAGCAGCAGGUUAAUACCCCGCUGUUCUGACGGUACCCAAAGAAUAAGCACCGGCUAACUUCGUG
rnacentral:rRNA from 1 species